rnacentral:rRNA from 1 species
GACGAACCGUGCGAACGUUGUUCGGAUUCACUGGGCUUAAAGGGCGCGUAGGCGGACGGUCAAGUCGGGGGUGAAAUCUUUCCGCUCAACGGGAAAAGUGCCUCCGAUACUGAUCGUCUCGAGGGGGGUAGGGGCAUGUGGAACUUCCGGUGGAGCGGUGAAAUGCGUAGAGAUCAGGAAGAACACCGGUGGCGAAAGCGUUCUGCUAGACCUGUACUGACACUGAGGGACGAAAGCUAGGGGAGCGAAUGGG